GAGAGUAACACGUGGGUAACCUGCCUAUAAGACUGGGAUCAUUUKUCRAAACAAAUGCUAAUACCGGAUACGCKAURUGGUCGCAUGACUGAAUCGGGAAAGAUGGAGCAAUCUAUCACUUAUAGAUGGACCCGCGGCGCAUUAGCUAGUUGGUGAGGUAACGGCUCACCARGGCGACKAUGCGUAGCCGACCUGAGAGGGUGAUCGGCCACACUGGGACUGAGACACGGCCCASACUCCUACGGGAGGCAGCAGURGGGAAUCUUCCGCAAUGGACGAAAGUCUGACRGAGCAACSCCGCGUGAGUGAUGAAGGUUUUCAGAUCGUAAAGCUCUGUUGCCRGGGAAGAAUGCUUGGGAGAGUAACUGCUCCCARGGUGACGGUACCUGARAAGAAAGCCCCGGCUAACUACGUGCCAGCAGCCGCGGUAAUACGURGGGGGCAAGCGUUGUCCGGAAUUAUUGGGCGUAAAGCGCGCGCRGGCGGCCUUGUAAGUCUGUUGUUUAAACUUGGGGCUCAACCCCAAGUCGCARGGGAAACUGCAAAKCUUGAGUACAGAAGAAGAAAGUGGAAUUCCACGUGUAGCGGUGAAAUGCGUAGAGAUGUGGARGAACACCAGUGGCGAAGG
rnacentral:rRNA from 1 species